GGUGGCUCCGGUGGGUAGAGCAUGGUGCUGAUAAUUCCAAGGUCAUGGGUUCGAUCCCCAUAUGGGCCA